rnacentral:lncRNA from 1 species
CAUAGUGCAUGUUUACGAGGUUAAGAUUCUACAGAUGUUGCAUAAUAUUGGUGACAAAGUGUCUCUCCUUAGGGGUUGAUUUAAAUAACAUAUGAUCUACUGAAAUAAAUUUUUUGGUGCCCAAACAUUGAAAUUCUGGUUCUUUGUUUCAAACACCAAAAUGUUGUUUACCUUGUCGUUCUAUGCUUAAAUGAUAAAAAUGUCUCAUUUAUAGGAAUGUAAACCUGAUGUAGAAUAGUAUUUACUUGUUGCUGUUAGUUACUACUUGUAUCCGCUGAUUUCUAUUCCUCAUUUUGCUUGUUUUACUCUUAUUUAUGCUCACGGACUGCCUACAAGUUAACAUGCUGUUAGAUUUGCCUUUACUUUGUUCCAAACCAUUUUGUUUGAUAACUUGCAGACGUUGUCCUUCAUUCAUGUUUCGUCGUGAGAUCUAGGACGAAGAAGUUGGGAGAAUCAUAAAGUUCUAGCUCAUUGGAGCUAGUUAUACUUGUAUGGCUAGUUAUUUUUUUUGGAUUUUUUAGUUGUGUUACCUGAUGUGAACUAGUUCUGAUUGUAAACCUCAUGUGAUCUUAGAACUAUUAUUGCUCUAGUCUGGUGGGAGUUGUGGAAGCAUAGGAAUGCUAUUGUUUUUGAAGGGGCGCGCCCUUGCUUGGAGUAUCUACUAGGGCGAGUGAGGCAUGAGGGCCAACUGUGGGCAUCGGCCGGGCUAAUGAAAGGGAAUGUAACUCCCUUCUUUACUAGAGUGGAGAGGUGGGAGAUGAGUGAGGAGUAAUAUGUAACAAAACCGUGUAAUUGUGGUGGAGGCUUUCUAUGCCUUUCUUCUUUAAUAUAUGAUAUGCACACUCAUGCAUAUUCGAAAAAAAUAAACCUCAUGUGAACCAUGUUUGAUUGCAAUGUGCCAAGUUUGGCUCUGUUUGAUUGUAUUCAUGAUGUGAACCAUGUUUUCAUGAUAUUUAGUUGUUCU